rnacentral:rRNA from 1 species
CAGCAGCCACGGUAAUACGUAGGGUGCAAGCGUUAAUCGGAAUUACUGGGCGUAGAGCGUGCGCAGGCGGUUAUAUAAGACAGAUGUGAAAUCCCCGGGCUCAACCUGGGAACUGCAUUUGUGACUGUAUAGCUAGAGUACGGCAGAGGGGGAUGGAAUUCCGCGUGUAGCAGUGAAAUGCGUAGAUAUGCGGAGGAACACCGAUGGCGAAGGCAAUCCCCUGGGCCUGCACUGACGCUCAUGCACGAAAGCGUGGGGAGCAGACAGGAUUAGAUACCCGUGUAGUCCCUGUCUCUUAUAC